AGUGAAGUUGCUAAAUCAUGUGGUAAUUUUAUGUUUAGCUUUUUGAGGAACUAUGAGAUUGUUUUCCAAAGUGACUGCACCGUUUUACCUUCCCAUUAGCAGC
rnacentral:pre_miRNA from 1 species